GAGACAGCAGUCGCCGCGGGAAAACGGAGGAUCCGAGCGUUAUCCGGAUUUAUUGGGUUUAAAGGGUGCGUAGGCGGCCUAUUAAGUCAGGGGUGAAAGACGGUAGCUUAACUAUCGCAGUGCCUUUGAUACUGAUGGGCUUGAAUGUACUUGAAGUGGGCGGAAUGUGACAAGUAGCGGUGAAAUGCAUAGAUAUGUCACAGAACACCGAUUGCGAAGGCAGCUCACUAAAGUAUGAUUGACGCUGAGGCACGAAAGCGUGGGGAUCAAACAGGAUUAGAUACCCCAGUAGUCCCUGUCUCUUAUAC
rnacentral:rRNA from 1 species